GACGGGUAUCCGGCCUGAGAGGGUGAUCGGACACACUGGAACUGAGACACGGUCCAGACUCCUACGGGAGGCAGCAGUAGGGAAUAUUGCUCAAUGGGCGAAAGCCUGAAGCAGCAACGCCGCGUGGAGGAUGAAGGUUUUCGGAUUGUAAACUCCUUUUCUAAGAGAAGAUUAUGACGGUAUCUUAGGAAUAAGCACCGGCUAACUCCGUGCCAGCAGCCGCGGUAAUACGGAGGGUGCAAGCGUUACUCGGAAUCACUGGGCGUAAAGAGCGCGUAGGCGGGGUAGCAAGUCAGAUGUGAGAUCCUACGGCUUAACUAUAGAACUGCAUUUGAAACUGUUACUCUA
rnacentral:rRNA from 1 species